rnacentral:misc_RNA from 1 species
AAUGUCGUAACAAGGUUUCCGUAGGUGAACCUGCGGAAGGAUCAUUACUGAUUGCGAAUGGUUACCCUUCGGUGCUGGCUCUUGGCAAUGUGCACGUUGGUGGCUUUCAUCCAAUCCCUGUGAACCUUUGGCCUCUUGCUAGCUCGGCUGGACAGAGGAUUUUUGACACGCUCGAAUGUAAUGAAAAUCUAUUGUCGUGCGCAAGCACUAAUGUACAA